rnacentral:lncRNA from 1 species
GACUGGCAGAACCUGCGGGCGAGGUGGGUGGCUCGCCAGCCGGGACGAAGGGAAAUGAGGACCACCGCUCCGGGGCGCGAGUAGGCGCGUGGAGUCCGGGGGCUCAGCCGCCGCGCCUCUUCCUCCUGCAGCUGGAGACUGCAACAGCGGCGGGUGCACCGGCAGCAGCGACGACCCUGCGCGCAGUUCUGCGCGCGCGCUGUGGUAGGUGGGAAAGAGGUGCAGAAAAGCUGCCUCCCUUAGGGUUCACUCCCUCGGUUCCACUGUCCCCACCCCACCCCUUCUGAGGAGCUGGGCACACCGGUGGGGCUUUGGAAAACUGCGAUCUCCUACCCGCCCCGCAGUAUCGGUGGCGUGUGCAGGUUGCCCUUCUCUUCACAGUCCACACCCAGCAACCAUCAGGACGCCCCCUGCUCCCGGCCCGAAGACUGUAGGGACCAUGGGAGGAGAGAGUGGUGGCUGGACCGGUCGGGGCGUGUGCGCGGAAGGCUGGAGUUGCUUGAGUAUUGUCUGCCGGGGCCGGCGCUUGCGUCAGGGUGCUCCCUCGCGCUUUCGGGGGUAGGGAAUGGGUUUGCUGAACUUACUCUGAGGGCUGAUUCUGCACAUGCCCUUGGCGCCUUGUGCAUGUUUGGACAAGGGUUUAAUGGAGGCACGUGGGAGCAGUAUCGAUCUCUGGCGGGUCCCCAAAGACCCUCUUGGGAUAGUCCAGAGCGUGUUCGGGGUUGAGAGCGAAAGGAGAGUGUUCCGUGUGAAUGUGCGUCCUAGGGAGGAGGAGGACAGUGUCUCAAGGAGACUUGAUUUUCUUUUAUUUGCUGCAAUUCCGUAAACCAAAUCAUGCUUUCGAGGCGUUAAAGUAAAUUACUGGUGGCAGUGUAGAAGCCAGACCGGGAGCUUCCAGAAGUGGUUUCUGAAAGAGUCAAAUGUACAUGAGUAAGCAAGCACAGGAAUCUGAAAAACCACAGGCCCACUAAUUUGCCUGCUUGACUAAAAUAAGGACGAGUUAUGUGCUGAUGAGAGACAUGUUUGUAAUGUUAUUCGUUGUGACACAGUUCAAAAGAAUUUGCCUUUGAUUCUCACUAAAAUGUAAAGUUUUGCAUAUUAAGAUCCUUUUUCAACAACUGAGCAACUCUUUAUAAUGAAGGGCAGAAGACGCCAAAGGGAAGAAAAUAUUUACCUUUGUGGGCUUUUACUUUCUUUCCUGGGAAUGGUAGGCCAUAGCUAUUGGUAUGUUUUUUUGUUGUUGUUGUUGUUGUUGUUGUUGUUUUUUGAGAAGGAGUCUCUGUCGCCCAGGCUGUAGUGUAGUGGCAUGAUCUCGACUCACUGCAACCUUCACCUCGGGUUCAAGCGAUUCCCCUGCCCCAGCCUCCUGAGUGGCUGAGAUUACAGGCACCCACCACCAGGCCCGGCUAAUUUUUGUAUUUUUAGUAGAGAUGGGGUUUCACCAUGUUGGUAAGGCUGGUCUCCAACUCCUGACCUCGGGUGAUCCUCCCGCCUCGGUCUCCCAAAGCGCUGGGAUUACAGGCAUGAGCCAGCGCCUACCACCGCUAUUGGUACUUUCACACGGAUGCUAAAGUUAUUGUGCUGGCCGUGUUAAGGGUCAGGCAUCAAAAUGGCCGCUCAAGAGAAUGAAGCUUUCUCUUUGUGCAGAUGCAACGGGUGGGAUGGGGUGCACAAUUAUCACAGUGCUGGUUGUGGUGUUACCUCGACAUUCUGCCUUACAGCUGAGGAGGGAUUUGUUUCGUCCCUGCUAAUGAAGGUGUUAAAUAAACUUGGAUGCUGUUAUUGAAGCUUAAAAAAUAAAUGGAAGCUGGGUGCGAUGGCUCAAGCCUGGAAUCCCAGCACUUUGAGAGACCGAGAUGGGAGGAUUGCUUGAGCUCAGGAGUUCAAGACCAGCCUAGACAACAUGGCAACACCCUGUCUCUACAAAAAAUUACAAAAAGUAGCCAGGCGUGGUGAUGUGCACCUGUAGCUAUGUGUACCUGUAGUCCCACACAGUCGGGAGGCUGAGGUGGGAGCCUCCCUUGAGCCUGGCAGGUCAAGGCUGUGAUGAGCCACGAUCAUGCCACUGCACUCCAGCCUGGGUGUGACAGUGAGAUCCCUUCUUAAGAAAAAAAAAAAAAAGAAAAAAAAGAAAUUGAACACUUACCAGUAGAAAGCAAACAGGGAGCUCAGACUCAGAAAGUGUAGAUUGCACUAAAUACUGAAGGGUUCUCACUUUAAAGACUCCAUGGAUAAGGAGUGGCUUCAGGAAAGCUCUUGAACAUUUAGGAACAUGUAAGUUUGCACUGCAUGAGACUUAGAUUCAUUAUCUGACUCAGGAAAUUGGGAUGUAACUAAUUAUCCCUCAAAAUAUCUAACAGGAAUGGAGUCUCCUCAGUCAAAAAGAAAAAGAACAAGGUUGAUAUUUUAUUCCUUUUUUGAAUUAUAGUAUAUUUGUUGUAGAGCCAUUAGGUGCUUUAGAGAUAUUUGACUUUUGACAUAUAACAUACAUAAUAAAGUGUGUAAAAGGUACUGGUCUAAAGUGUACUGCUCAAGGAGAAUCACUUGAACCCAGGAGGCUGAGGUUGCAGUGAGCCGAGAUCGUGCCGCUGCACUCCAACCUGGGUGACAGAAUGAGACCCUGUCUCCAAAAAGAUAAAUAAAUAAAUAAAUAAAUAAAUAAAUAAAGUGUACUCCUCAGUGAAACUUUGCAUGCGUGUAUACCAUGUGACCAUCACCUGAGUCAAGAUGUAGAUUUCCAGCACUCCAGAGGAUUUCCUCUUGCCCCUUCUGUUCAGAAUUCAUCGUACCUCCAACAUGAAGGUAACCACAUUGUGAUUUUUAAAAAACUCCAUCCACUAGUUUUGUCUUGUAAGUUCCGUAUAAAUAGUGUCAUAUAGUGGGAACUCUUGUGUGUGUCUUUCAUUCACACAUAUAGACAGGCACUAGAAUUUCAUAGGCAUAACAUAAAGUCUAUGAGAUUCAUCCACAAGGUUGUGCAUAUCAGUAGUUCUAAUCUCUUGCUGAGAAUCAUUCCAUUGUAUGCAUAUAUCACAGUUUGUUUCUCCAUUUUCCUGUUGGCUCUUUGGAUUGUUUUCAGUUUGGGGCUAAUACGAAUAAAGCAGCCAUGAACAUUCUUGCUUAUGUCUUUUGGUGCACAUGCCCAAUCAUGUCUCUGAACAUAUGCUCAGGAGAGGAAUUGUAGGGUCAUAGGUAGGCACAUAUUUAGCUUUAGUAGAUAUUGCCAAACAGUUUCCCAAAGGGGUUGUACCAACUUAAAUUUCCCCAGUAGUGUAUGAGUGUUACCCAGUUAGUGGCUCUACAUUUUAAUGAACACUUGGUGUUAUCUGUCUUUUAAAUUUUAGCUACUUUGCUGGGUGUACAGUGGUAUCUUUGUGGGUUUUUAAAAACGUAUUUUAUUGUAAUUGUGGGAAAAUAUGUAUAUUUAGAAUUUACCAUCUUAACCUUUUUUUUUUUUUGAGACAGAGUGCUGCAGUGUGGUGGUGCGAUCUUGGCUCACUACAGCCUCUGCCUCCUGGGUUCAAGCAAUUCUCCUACCUCAGCCACCUAAGUAGCUGAAAUUACAGACGGGCACCACCAUGCCUGGCUAAUUUUUUGUAUUUUUAGUAGAGAUGAGGUCUCACUAUGUUGGCCAGGCUGAUGCUGAACUCCUGACCUCAGGUGAUCCACCUGCCUCAGCCCACCAAAGUGCUGGGAUUACAGGCGUGAGCCACUGCACCCGGCCAACUGUUUUUGAGUGUACGGUUAGUAGCAUUAAGUACAUUCAACUUGUUAUCUAACCUUCACCACCACUCAUCUCCAGAACUCUUCAUUUUGCAAAACUGAAACUGUACCCAUUAAACAGUAAUUACCCAAGUCCCACUUCCUUAGCUACUGGCAACCACCAUUCUACCUUCUGUGUCCGUGGAUUUGACUAUACACCUCAUAUAAGCUAGAUCAUGUAGCGUUUGCCUUUUGUGACUGGCUUAUUUAACUUAGAUAAUGUCCUCAAGUUUUAGCCAUGUUAUAGCAUGUAUUAGAAUUUAGCAGUUUCAAGGAGAAAUAAUAUUCUAUUGUAUGUAUAUGCCACAUUUUGUUAAUCCAUUCAUUUGUCAAUGGACACUUGGGUCUUCACCUUUUGGCUAUUUGUGAAUAAUGCUGCUCUGAACCAUUAUUGUACAGAUAACCUCUUCAAGUCCUUGCUUUCAGUUCUUUUGGGCAUAUACCCAGAAGUGGAAUUGCUGGAUCAUAUGGUAAUUCUAUUUUUAUUUUUAUUUAAAAAGCUUCUAAAGAUAGGGUCAGCCGGGCACGUGGCUCACACCUGUAAUCCCAGCAUUUUGGGAGGCCUAGGAGGGCGGAUCACCUGAGGUCAGGAGUUCGAGACCAGCCUGACCAACAUGGUGAAACCCCAUCUUUACUAAGAAUAGAAAAAUUAGUCAGGUGUGGUGGUGGGUGCCUGUAAUCCCAGCUACUAGAGAGGCUGAGGCAGGAAAAUCACUUGAACCCAGGAGGCGGAGGUUGCAGUGAGCCAAGAUCCUGCCACUGCACUCCAGCCUAGGUGACAGGGCCAGACUCCGUCUCUCAAAAAAUAAAUAAAUAAAUAAAGAUAGGGUUCCACUCUGUUGCCCAGGCUGGCGUGUAGUGGUAUGAUCAUAGCUCACUGUAGCCUCAAACUCCUGGCCUCAAGUGAUCCUCCUUCCUCAGCCUCCCAAGUAGCUGGGACUACAGGCAUGUGACACCAUGCCUAGGCAAUUAAUUUUUUUUUCUUGCUGUAUUGCGCAGGCUGAUCUCAAAUGCCUAGCCUCAAGUGAUUCUUCUGCCUCAGUCUUCUGAGUAGCUGGGAAUACAGGCACAAGCCAUUUUACAUUCCAGCCAGCAGUGUAUAAGGGUUUCAGUUUCUCCACAUCCUCAACAACACUUUUUAUUUUCUGUUUCUUUGAUAGUAGCCAUCCUGAUGGAUGUGAGGUGGUCCUUGUGGUUUUAAUUUAUAUUUCCCGGUGAGUAAUGAUGUUGAGUACUAUUUCAUAUACUUAAUGGCACUGGGAUAUAUCCUUUUGUGAAGUGCCUUUUCAAAUCUUUUGCCCAUUUUUGAGUUGGGUUGUUUUUUGGUUGGUUGGUUUUUCUUGUAAAAGUUCUUUUAUAUCCUGCAUAUGAGUCCUUUGCCAAAUACAUAUGUUACAAAUAUUUUCUCCCAGUCUGGUUUGCCUUUUCACUGUCUAAAUGGAAUCUUUUGAUAACUUGGAAGUCUAGUGAUCAAUUUUUGCCUUUUAAAAUGGCUAUUGUUUUUUGUGUUCUGUUUAUGAAAUUUUUGCCUACUUUGGGGUUAUUUUUUAAAAACCUUGUUUUUAGUAACUGAAAACAUAUGGAGACAAUCUGUUUGGAAGAUAUAGUAAAUUAACUAUAAGCAUAUUUCAAAUAUGUGCCUUGAGUGUGGAAGUUGGUGAUAUACACCUUUUCUGCAGCAGGUGGCAGAAAAGGGAUUUGAAGCAAGUAUGUUUAUAUGUUUAUAUGGGCAUAGAUGCUAUUACUCAAGUGGCCUCCACUCGGGGCCCCUCUAGAUUGGGAAGAACCAUAGGGAAGAGCUCAGUGAUAACUCUUCUGUAGGAAAGAAUGUGGCAAAAUAUAUGGGUAUCUAUACUUUCUCUAUUUGUAAUCCAUGCUUGCCAAAUGAUUCUCCCCCUCCCCUCUUCUAUCCCCAAGGACAGUCACUGCUGUUCAGUGCUGCAGCUUUCCUUAGCACCUCAAGAUCCUGCCAUUCAUUAGCUUUUUCUCUUCAUCUUUUUCUUGAAAGGUCUGCAUUUUCUGUCACUUUGAUGUCUUGAAAUGUCCCCUCCCACUGCCCCAUGUUCUUCAGACCCUUCAGACCCCUCAACCCCCACAUCUUUAUAGCCUGUUCCCACUACUAUCCCUCAACUCAGGCUGCAGGUAUGUAUUUGUUAAUUGCCUCCUGGACAUCUCCCUCUGGAUGUCCCACAGGUGCCUUUCAUAUGAAACAUGUGUUGUUCCUCUCCAGUCUGCUUGUCUGCUUUCCCACCCUAAUUAAUAUAUUUACCAUUCCUCUAGGAUUCUGAAGUAGAAUUCUUGGCACUGUUCCGGAUUCUCCUGCAUGACUUUUAUCACCCUCACAGCUCAUACUUAGUUGGUCAUCAAAGCUGCUGAGUCUUUCUCCUUUCUCUGAAACAUCUUUCAUAGACAUCCCCUCUUCCCCAUAUUCACUACCUUGUGGUUCUGGUUCUUUAAUCCCCCUUUAGGAUUGUAGUAAUAACCUCCCAUCUGAUCUCCCUGAUUCUACUCUUGCCUCUAAUCCAUCUUCCACUUGUCAUCAGCUUUCUUUUCCUAAAACACAGAUUUAAUCAUGCUGUUUUUUACUUAAAAACGAUUUGUAGCUCUCCACUGCCUACAAGAGGCAUUCAAAUCCCUAAGCAUGAUUUACAAUGUGAGACUCUUCAUUAUUUGCCUUCAAUCUGUUUUCUCUGCUCUAUCAUCUGCCAUUUCCUCCCCACACUCCAUCUGUCCUAAACUAUUUUCCAUUCCUAGAACAUUCCUUGAGUUCUUUCCUGCAUCUAUGCUUUUCACAUGCUGUUUCUUCUAUUUCUGAUGUUCAUGCCUGUCUACCUGGCAAGUUACUAGUUUUCCUUUAAAAGCCAGCUGAAAAGUGGCCUCUUUGAGCCUUCCUUUUCUUUAAGUAGAUCUUGUUAUUCAUCUCUCAUUUAGUGUGGUUGGAGGAAGUGAUUCAUAAUUGCAGGCAGUAAUGCAUAUUAAUUAUUAUACCCCCAGCAACUACUGGGGCACUACUUGAAAACAAAUGAUAUUUAAUAAAUGUUCAUGGAAUGAAUGAACUCAUGGAGAACCCAUCUGUGCUCAGAUUUUGUUGCUUAACAGCUCAUCACAAUAUCGGUCUACUUAGUGGUUUUAAACAACCACCAUUUAUUUAGUUCUUGAUUCUGUGGGUUGGCAAUUUGGGCAGGACUCAGCUGGAUGGUUCUUUCAAUCUGGGCAGGUCUUCUGACCUUGGCCACCUUCACUUGUGUCUGUGAUCUGCUGUGUGAGUUGGAGGCUGUCUCUUCUAGGAUGGCCUCAGCUCCUCUCUGCUCGACAUUGUGGUCUUUAAUCUGUAACCAGGCUAGCCUGAGCUUGUUCACACUAUGGCUGGCCAGGUUCUAAUUGAGAGUGCAGAGGCAACCAAGGCCUCUUGAGGCCUAGACUUGCAACUGGCACAAGAUUAUUUCCUCUGAAUUUGUUAGCCAAGGCAAGUCACUUUAAAGCCAGCCCUGAUUCAGGAGGUGAGGAAGUAGGUUCUAUCUCUUGAUGGAAGGAGCUAUUUAUAUAAUCACAUUGCAAGGAACAUGGAUAGAGAGAAGAGAAUAAUUGAAGCCUUUUUGCAAGCAAUCUACUACACUUAUUUGGGAGCAGGAAUGGAGAUUAGAGCAGGUUGGGCCAAGGAGGUUUAUUCCACUUAGAUCAGCAGCGGGGUGCACAGUUGUGGCCCUCACUCAUGGGUUUAAUUGCACCUAACAUGAGCCCAAGAUGGUUCUGUGGUUCCUAGCAUCCUCUUUUGGCCCUCCUCUCAAAUCCUCAGCCCCUCUCCCCGCUUUUUUUUUUUUUUAAUCUGAAGCAUAUCUAAGACAGCCCCAGUUUCCUUUUGGCAUUGGUAAUUUGGGCUGGCCUAGUGGAAAUACCACUGGUGGUGCUAUGGGAUGAGGAAGGAGCUCUUCAGUAUUGGAAAAGGGAACAACACCUUUCCUCUUCAUCCUGGAAGCUGCUGUAUAUAGCCUUGGAAAUUGGGGGCUUUCUCAUUGUGAAGCACCCUCAAGUAUUUGCCAUUGAUUUGUCUCUAUCCUCCGAUUUAAAAGGCAUUUUCUAGGAGAGGAGAGUGUCAGGAAACAAAAAGAGAUCUGAUAGAUUGGGACUGUUCAUCUAUGUUCUUCCUCGCCAUGUGUGAAAAUUUAAGAUAUUCUCCUACUGAGAAACAGUAGUCCUUUACCCAAUUAUAAUGUCUGUGUGCUUUCCCAGCUGUUACAAACUCUUCAGAGUGGAAACAUGAAUUUAAACGUCUCUGAUACACCACCCAUGAAAGGAACCUUUUUUGAGGACUAGACUACAUUAGGAAAAAGUAUAGUUACAGUAUACAACGCAGGAACUCAGUUGAAAUAUGCUAAAACAUGUAUGAAGAGAUCCUAGUUUUCAAGAGGUAGUAUAAUAACCAUGAAUAAGUUCUAGCUUUUCCAGAACUUGGCUUCAGUGUACAUCUGAAUGUUUUAGUAGAGUUGUUAGAAGCAGUUAAAAAAAAAAGCAGAUGUAAAUUUCACCUCAUUCAUGCCCAUUUCUACUAAUCCUAGAGAUAGAGCCGUACUGUGAAGUGACCAAAAUGCAUAAAAGAAUGGGAGGCACUUACAGGGUCUUAAGACCCCUCAUGACCGCUAAGUGAACUCUCAUUGCCUCUUGCCAGUCCUAGAUUGGCUGCUGACACAGUUGGAGGCAUGAAAAAUCCACAACCUGAGUAAUCCUCUGCUGAAAUAACAGCUGUGCCAUUUGUGGGUGAAAAUAGAAUUUUUUUCCUGCCCCUCUGGAAUUUUAAUUUAUCUUUUCCAAAUUUUUUAUUAUGGCAUGCUCAUGCUUUUCAUUUUAUUCAACAGAAGAUUGAGUUUUUAUCUCACCAUGCCUUGUGUGUAGAUCAUUUCCUUAUUGGAUUCUGUGUAGUGUUUGUUGUUUACUUAAUGACAACAUAAACUCAGAUAGUAGUCAUAGUUAAAUAUUUUUAGAGGACCACAACAAUUUGAGUUACGAAAUCAAUAUUUUUAUCAAUUAAAAAUGUAUCAAAUCAAGGUAUUUUAACAGACUAAAAUAAGACACUAAUUUUUGUUUUUCCAAAAGAGUUAGCUUUGGCUGGGCGCAGUGGCCCAAGCCUAUAAUUCCAGCACUUUGGGAGGCCAAGAUGGGUGGAUUACGAGGUCAGGAGUUCAAGACCAGCCUGGCCAACAUGGUGAAACCCCGUCUGUACUAAAAAUACAAAAAUUAGCCGGGUGUAGUAGCGGGCUCCUGUGGUCCCAGCUACUCAGGAGGCUGAGGCAGGAGAAUUGCUUGAACCUGGGAGGAGGAGGUUGCAGUGAGCUGAGAUCACGCCACUGCACUCCAGCCUGCGGACAGAGCAAGACUCCGUCUCAGGGAAGGAAAAAAAAAAAAAGAGCUUGAUGUCAUAAGCAACCAUAAAACAUUUUAUAUACUAUACUGCCAACAUGAUGCAUAAUGUGAAUUGUAAGUUACAUUUACUGAUGUAUAAAUACAUGGUCUGGGUCGGGUACGGUGGCUCACACCUGUAAUCCCAGCACUUUGGGAGGCUGACUGAGACAGGUGGAUCAUGAGGUCAGGAGAUCGAGACCAUCUUGGCUAACACAGUGAAACCCCAUCUCUACUAAAAAGUAAAAAAAUUAGCCGGGCGUGGUGGUGGGCACCUGUAGUCCCAGCUACUCGGGAGGCUGAAGCAGGAGAAUGGUGUGAACCUGGGAGGUGGAGCUUGCAGUGAGCCAAGAUCGUGCCACUGCACUCCAGCUUGGGCAACACAGCGAGACUCCAUCUCAAAAACAAAAACAAAAACAAACAAAAAAACAUGGUCUAUAUGUACUAUACUAUGUCUCUGUUGUGGGGAGUGGGGUGGGAGAGAGAGAGAAAGACAGAGAGAGAGAGAAAGCGAACAAACCCACACAUCCUCCUGUGAAAGGUUAAAAUACCGGCAAAAGCUAUAUGAAAAGCAUAAGUAAAUGUAGAUCUUAUAUUUGUUAAAACAGCCAUGUAGGACAAUGAUUAAAUUCAAUGAGGGAAGGGAUUAUUAGCUAACAAGUAUAUUUACAUUGAAGGAAGGCUGUGACAGAGAAACAACUAAUACAUUCAAGGUGGUAGUUUUACAAGCCCUAGGUGCCACACUGAGUGAUGUUAAUGGACCUAGUCUACUGUUGGCUUUUAUUUUUAUUUUUUUAUUUUAUAUAUUUUUAUUUUUUAUUUUUUUUUUUGAGAUAGGGUCUCACUCUGUCACCCGGGCUGGAGUGCAGUGCCGGGAUCUCGGCUCACAGCAACCUCUGCUUCCCAGGUUCCAGGGAUUCUCCUGCCUCAGCCUCCCAAGUAGCUGGGACUACAGGCGUGUACCACCACGCCCAGCUAAUUUCUUUUUGUGUUUUUCUUUUUAGUAGAGAUAGGGUUUCGCCAUGUUGGCCAGGCUGGUCUCAAACUCCUGACCUCAGGUGAUCCACCCGCCUUGGUCUCCCAAAGUGUUGGGAUUACAGGUGUGAGCCACCACGUCCGGCCUAUAUUUUUUAUAUUUUUGAGACGGAGUCUCACUGUGUUACCUGGGCUGGAGUGCGGUGGUGCUAUCUCGGCUUGCUGCAACCUCCGCCUCCUGGGUUCAAGUGAUUCUCCUCCCUGCCACCACACCUGGCUAAUUUUUGUAUUUUUAGUAGAGACGGGGUUUUACCAUGUUGGCCAGCCUGGUCUUGAACUCCUGACCUCAAAUGAUAUGCUCACCUCAGCCUCCCAAACAGCUGGGAAUACAGGUGUGAGCCACUGCGCCCAGCCUGUUGGCUUUUAAAAGAGAUUUUAGAAUGUGCACAUUUAAGAUGGACUAGAUGGUAAUCAAUUACUCUCCAAUCAUUUGAAUACUAAUCCUUACAUUGGAAAAUAUUUAGGAUGAAUUAUAUGUUUUAUAAAAAUAUUCUGUUUUUUUCCUGAUUAAUGAUGUAAUCAAAAUUUUCUUACUGUCAUGGCAUUGUCAGUAUGGUGGAUUUCUGGAUGUAGGCUUGGGCACAGAGGUCAACAUCUAUGGUUGCAGAAGCAUCUUUGCUUAUCCAGUAGCGCAGCUGUGCAUGCAGGUAUUUGACCAGGAAAAUAUAAUGGGGAAAGACAAUAGAGUCUUAAUGAAUUUCUUAAAGAGGAAGGGGUGUGGCCGUCUCAGCUAAUCCCAAUGCUUCAGAUUUGUACACGAUUGAAAGAACAGAUGAUAUUUUUCCUUAGAACAGCUGAGGAAAGUAAAAUGCCAUGCGCACUGAUUGAACACCUUGUGCCCUGUUGACAAACCAUGCAUAGGAUCAUCUGUUGUUCUUUCUUUACCUCCCGGGAGGGCAAUGUGGGAUCUCUUCCUUUAGUCACCAAUAUAUAUGAUAAUACUAUGCAUUUUCUUUUCUUUUUUUUGAGAUGGAGUCUCGCUCUGUUACCUAGGCUGGAGUGCAGUGGUGUGAUCUCAGCUCACCACAACCUUCGCCUCCUGGGCUGGGUUCAAGCGAUUCUCCUGCCUCAGCCUCCCAAAUAGCUGGGACUACGGGUGCACGCCACCAUGCCCGGCUAAUUUUUGUAUUUUUAGUAGAGACGGGGUUUCCCUAUAUUGACCAGGCUGGUCUUGAGCUCCUGACCUCAUGAUCUGCCCACCUUGGCUUCCCAAAGUGCUGGGAUUACAGGUGUGAGCCACCGGGCCCGGCCAAUACUAUGCAUUUUCUUAUCCAUGUUAUGAGGAAGGCCUCGAGACUCAGACAUAAUCUGAUUGCUGGGAUUUAAGUGACAGUCGCUGCUGGCUUUUAAAUGGAAAUUUUAGAACGUACACAUUUCAAAUGCCACAACCUUUCUUGCUUCUUUGACAUGUGGUCCUGCUCUGCCUGUGCUGGUGAACAUCAGGUACAGUCAUAGUGUAUGUGUGUGUGUGUGUGUGUGUGUGUGUGUGUGUGUGUGUGUGUAGCAAGGUGAGGAGGGGAGCGGUUCUUCCCAGUGAUUGUAACAGAUUUUUCCUACCUAUGUGGUCAUAGUGAAUGAGUACCUAGUGUUCUGUAUUUUUUAUCACUAUUGGUGAUUUUCCAUCACUAUCAGUGAAAAAAUAUAUAUUUAUAUAUUCAUAAAAAUAACAAUAUUUCACCAAGAGCUUUGACCCUGAAUUGAUGUGACCUUGGACUUGCCUGAUGCUGGAAUCAGAUGGCUGAACUAGAAGUGAGGAGGCUGCUGUUCUAUCCCCAGUUAGCUUCUAAGUAGCUAUGAUGUCUGGGCACAUCCUUUUUAUUGGUCUGGACUUAGGUAUUGUCAUCUUUAACAUGAGAGUUGGACUGUUUUUUGUUUUCUGUUUUUUUUAAUUUUUUUUAAAGAGACAGAGUCUCACCUGUUGCCCAGGCUGGAGUGCAGUGGCGCCAUCUCUGCUCACUGCAACCUCCGCCCCCCGGGGUUCAAGCGAUUCUCCUGUCUCAGCCUCCCGAGUAGCUGGGAUUACAGGCGGCUGCCACCGCACCCAGCUAAUUUUUUGUAUUUUUAGUAGAGACAGGGUUUCACCAUCUUGGCCAGGCUGGUCUUGAACUCCUGAAAAUUUCAGUGCACAGUUCUGAAAUUUAAAAUAUUAGGGAACAGAGCCAGAGCGUUGCCAUACCUUAAAAAUAAUCUUGCAUCUCUCCUGUUUACAUGAUUCAAUUCUUGAAACCAGUUGGAAUGUGCGUCCUGAUCUCUAAAUGUACAAGUUAUUUAAAAAAAAUGUGAGCUUGUCAGCUUAGCUACAGCCACCAGUCUAAUAAAACUGAGUCACAUCCAAAUGGGCUGCACUUAAACUACCCUCCCAUUCUAGGGAAAACGUGGCUGGAGGAGGCAGUCUGAGUCAUCACCUGGUUUGUUUGACAUACACUUCCUUCCAUAAAUUGGGAAUGGCAAGCGGCACAGUGUUCUGGGCUUGCCUGGGAGAAGGAGCUGUUGCAGUCUUGCACGAUCAAAAUAGGGCCUUUAGGUUUGAAGGAUGAGGUUGAGCCCAUAUUUUGACUCCAAAUGUCGGGGGAGGGGAGAAGAAGUCGACAGAUCCAAACAAGGAACAUUUGGGCUGGGGGUGUGUGGGGCGGGGGUGGUCUGUCCAGUGAUUCAGCCACAUGUGAUAGAUGACCAAGUGACUGCUUUCUUGGAGUCCGCACACCAGUGGAAGACUCUCAAAGUGGUUGUGACCGACUUGAUCAAACUCUAGGCUUCCUGAACUGGAAUGAAAUGCAGAUAACUCUUUAGAAAACUUUUGUAGGAAAAGCGCCUCGUGUGAUCUGGAACAAAGACGUUUUAUAAUCAGAUUUAUCAAGCUGCGAAGAGGGAGUUUUAGUGAACGGAAGCAGCAGCAUUCUGUCACCAGGAAAUACUCCUUUAUCCAGAAUUGGUAAGUGAAAAGUGGCAUUGCUCCCUAAUAGAUAUCAUAUGCGUGUGUGGGAAUUGAAAAAUUGUUCACAGACCCCUAACAACUGUGUUGAACAGAGAACACAUAAACAGUGAGGAGUUCUAAAAAAGAGCAGCACGAGAAUACCGCAUAAAGACUGAGAAGAAGCCAGGUAAUUAACAAAAAUGAGCUGAGUGCUAUCAGUUUAGCUAAACAUAUGUAAUACAGCUAGAUUUGGUUGUUUUAUUUUUUCUUGUUAGUGGAGGAGAAACAUAAAAUCAGAAUGGGCUGUUUAGUAGAAUUGCGACAUUAACUUUCCAUGGAUGUAGAUUUCCAUUUAGUCUGAAUAGCAUGUAUGAAAUUUGAAGGGAUGCUUUCAGAAUUAGUCUACUUGCCCUCCUUUCCUUUCCUCUGCAUUAAGAUGUCAAGUAUUUAGUUAGAACCUUACAAGAUGAAAGUUGUACAAAAUGAAAGUUCAAGUAAUGCGUCGGAAACACCUCUCCUGAUUGGGAAGGGUAGAUUACAAUGGCAAUAGAUUUUUGUUUUUUGUUUCUUACAUUUGUGUCACGAAUUUUAAGUUUGUUCUAUUGGAUUACAUUAGUACAGCAAAAGGGGGGUUAUUUCUAUCUAUAUGGUUCAUGACAUUUUGAGAGGUCGUGAUUAGUAGUUCUUACUGGUUUCGUAUGCGUGUUCCUGCCUGUUGAAUUCAGUUUUCUAAUCUUGAAUCUGAGCUGCCUUUAUGUUAAAGGGUUCUAGAAAAAGACAAUAAAGCUUUGAAUACCCGUGUUAUAUACAACAGGUUCCUGUUCAUGAUGUAUAAGGUAACGCAAUUUUAUUUUAGGCAUGAAUGUCUAAUUUCUUGAUUUGGCUUCUUAAGAAUAUACUGAAAAGGUUGAAUAGAAUAAGAAAAAGAACAUUAGAAAAGAAUGGUGGGUGACUGCCUGAUUUUACUAGUUUCUUAUUGGUCAAUAGAAGUAAUCAUGUGAUGUCUACUUAUAGAAGCAAAUGGAAAAAAUUUUUCUUCUUUAACUGCUAACAAGUAUAUAGGCAAUUUUAGCAAUCUUCAUUUAUUAAUUUGAAUAUAUAAUUAUAACUGUUAUUAACAGACGGUGUCAGGGUUGCAUUUACUAUUACUGAUCCCAGUAAUAGGAUGAGUUUGAUCUCUCAGCAUGAAAAGAAUGACCAUAUUAGGGAUUUGUUUGUUCUCCAGACUACAGAAAGUUUGAUAACCAGAGUAGGACUUACUGGAGAGAUAAUGUCAGAAUGAAUAGAGACUGUCUGUGAGAAAUUUGAACGGGCUCAGUGCUGUUACCUACUAGCUAGAAAUGGGAAGCAAGGGGAUGAAUGUGAGGUUGGGGGCAUUGAGUCAAGAAGAAGAUCAGGCAAUUCUGGAGCUAGGUAAAUUGGGAUCAUUCCUGGCUUGUCACAUCUACGUGGGACAUUUAGACUAUCCACGGGCUGGAUACCUUAGGAAAGUUCCUUCUGGCUCUGGGACUCACUGCUCUUUCAGCAUUGCCAAUUUACAUCUAGUGUGUUCUUGUUAGAAGUGGAAGGCUCCUCUUCAUUUUUGAGCUCCUUGCGCCCUGUCAUUUUCUCUGUAUGAGAGGGUUUUGCUAUUCCUUUUUGAGUGAAAACGACUCCCAUAGCAUAUUGCCAUUCACACUCCACCAGGUCUCCCCUUCACACACACACACACACACACACACACACACACACACACACACACCAUUCUCUUGUCCUCCCUGAGCCAGUCCUUUCAAGGUUAUAUCAUCCUAAAAAUUUACCUUUUCUCAUCUAAAUGUAAAGAUUUAUAAAAGAUAAUCUUUUGUAUUUUGGCAUUGAAAGUGACCACACUAAACCCUUGCCUCACUUUAAUUGUUAGUCUUAUUCAUAAAAGUAGAGUUAUGAACAGUUAGUUUUAGUGGUUUAUGAAAUGUAAGUUUGUGUGUUCUACAAAUGCUUUAUUUUACAUUGAGGGUAAGACUUAGCCAAACCUAUAUAAACGGUCUUUUCCCCCACUUCAGUAUGUAUGCUCUGGUUUGUAGGCAGUGCCAAAAUAUACUUCAUAGAUGGGAUUGGCCUUAACUUAUUUAAAGAGAAAAAAAAGCAAGCAAUCAAAAAAACCCCUGCUUCACCUUGUAAAUUCCACCCUUAUCCUCCCCCACCAAGAGCUAACCACACUGGUGAAGCACUAUUACUAUAAUUUGGCAAGUGAGUUGCCUCUUAAAAUUAGACAUCUGUGAUUAAAUAGUUAAAUCAUUCCCUAGAUAUGUAUAUAUUUAGAGCUCCCAGAAAGCUGGUUAUCUUUUCUUAUAGCUAACACAUUUUUAAAAAGCCACUUUUCUCUUGGUGAUAAAUAUGUGUGUGUCAUACUGUGGUAUAGCUGCAUGUCCGAUCAAAUGGUACUAGUUUCCAAUUGACAGUAGCUUUAUUAAAUCUUUUCUAAGUGAUAGCUGAAGCAUUUUAAAUUCACAGCAAAGGAUUCUAAGACGUGUACUUGGAGAAAAGUUGCAUAGUCAUUUACCUUCUAGAAUAAUCCUAAAAGUAGGAAACAAUAAUUGGCCAUGUGGUCAUGUGCUAAUAAAAGAACACCUUGUCCAAGAUACCAGGCUUUUUCCUGUUUCAGUGCUUUUUGUUCUGACUCUUGCCUCUCCCUGUGGUGUCCUUUCCCACCCCAGGUAUGUACAUGAUUCUUCUCCUCCUACUUCAGGAAUCCACUCAAAUGCCAGGCCCUCAGUGAGGCUUUUCCUAGCCACCUUAUCGAAAAUAGCAUUCCUCUUAACUGUUUCAUUACUCUAUGAAAUGACCGUCCAUAUCUAUGGAGGUUUUUUUCAGUCUUUUUCUACCCUUUCCUUAAAUCUUAGACUUAAACUUCCGUGAGUGCAAGGAUUUUGUUCAGUGUUGCAUUCCCAGUGCCUGGAAUAAAGCACGCAGAAGUAUUUCAGUAAGGUACUGAAAGAGCCCCUCCCCAGAAGGCAAAGGAUCACCCAGCUGCUGGAAGGUGUAGGUACCCUCAAUGGCUCAGUAGCCAGUGUAGAUCCUGUCUUUCGUAAUCAGCAGCUACAUCUGGCUACUGGGUCUCUGAUGGCAUCUUCUAGCUUCUGCUUCAGUGUCCUGAGAGAGAUUAUUGGGCAGUCUUUAAUAAUGAAAACUUUACCUUGAAUUACACACACACACACACACACACACACACACACACACACACACUCACACACACACUCACACACACACAAAGAGAGAGAGAGAGAGAGAGAGAGAGAGACAGAGAGAGAGGAGAGAGUCAAGUUCUAGGGUGUUAAGUCCAACAUUAUCAGCUGGGGCUUGGGAACCUUCAAGGUUUUAUGAAUGAUGAGGUCUAUUUGCUUUCAAUACUACAAGGGGGAGGAAUCUGGAUAUUUAUCCAUGUUUUAGCUCUUACCUGUUUUUGUUUUACCUCUUUUUUUCUCUUUCCCCCCUAUGAAAGGUAUCAUUUGGAUAGAUCAAUCUAUUCAUCUAUCUACCUACCUACCUAUCUACCCCUACCCAUCCACCCAUUUAUCCAUCCACCCAUCCAUCCAUCCAUCCACCCACCUGCCCACGUACCUACCAGUUUAUCUAUCCGACCUUCCUUCCAUCCAGCUUUUUCAUCUCUUGACUUUUAGAUGGCAUUUUCAACAUGAUGUCAUGAUUAAAUGAUGACAACUUGAUGAUAUGAUGGUUUAAGGAAAUUUUGUUGGUAGUAGGUAAGUCCCAGCAUUUCUGACUGUUGGUUUUCUUUUCCUUGUGGUAGAAAAGACAAAUGCCAAUUUUGAAAUCUUGAAUGCAGUAGGCAGUUGUGUUGAAAUAGUAUGUGAGAAUUACUUGCAAGCUGAACAUCCAGGUCUGGGGCAUGAACCUGGCAUACAAUGUAGAUUUCUGUGUUCGUUAGGCAACAGCUACAUUGUCUGCUGGGUUUCAGGCUACCUGGAAACAUGUUCUCCAUUGGCUGUCUCACCAAUGCUACCCCUAUAAUGUUUCUGAAUAACUGUUUUCCAGGAGGUAUAAACCAGUGGAGUUUAUCAUUGAAUAGAGUGCAGAGAAAGGACCGCAAGAAAGCUGAUCACCUCAGCAAUGAAUGAUUUCAAUACGAUUUCACCCAAAUGGUCUCACACACCAGCCUAGUAAACCAGAGAUAAGGUGUAAUGUCAUCCUUCCUUCCUUCUCCCUGCCUCAACUGUCAAAGAUUGACAACUUACAUGUUGUUUACUUUUUGGCUUCUAUUUCUGUUCAUAAUUAUUAUCAGAAGGCAUAGCACCCACAAGCCUAAUCAUACUGCCUUACAACCUUAUUCCUCUUCAUUUUGUCUUCUCACUUACCUGCAGAAACCCAGUUUAUUUUUGUUCUCCCUUUACCACACCAGCCUUGUAACUGUUAUGAAUGACCCUCAAUCUCACUGGAAUCUGAAUCACUCAGGAAUUCAAGCAAACUGGAUGUUUUAACCACUGUUCAGCUUUCUUAUGGAAUGACAGAGAACUUGUAAAGAUAAAACACCAGUUUGCAGGAAGAAAGGAAGAGAAUGGAAAUUGCUUCUGGAAAAUACUAGUUUUACAAUAUGUUUUGUUUGUCUGCUCUCUUAAAUAAACUUAAUCCUAUAAACAUUUUUUAAGAACUAGCCAUUAAGACUGUUAAGUUCUCAAUUAUAAAGGAAUAAAAUGUUUUAAGGAGGAUUUAUUUGCCCUUGCUUAUAUGAACUGCAUAUUUUUAGUAGGAAAUCAUGUAAUUUAAAUUAGUAUUGGUUAACAGAUUUAACGUAGAAAAUGGACAUAUAAAGAAUACAAGGAUAAAUGUCUACAUGUAAUAAUGGAUGGUAGUGAUAUAAUGCAUUUUUGUCAUCCCAUGCUGAAUUCAGUAAAAAUAAAGCUAAUGACUUGGAG